AUUGAACGCUGGCGGCAUGCCUUACACAUGCAAGUCGAACGGCAGCGCGGGAGCAAUCCUGGCGGCGAGUGGCGAACGGGUGAGUAAUAUAUCGGAACGUGCCCAGUAGUGGGGGAUAGCCCGGCGAAAGCCGGAUUAAUACCGCAUGAGACCUGAGGGUGAAAGCGGGGGAUCGCAAGACCUCGCGCUAUUGGAGCGGCCGAUAUCAGAUUAGCUAGUUGGUGGGGUAAAGGCCUACCAAGGCAACGAUCUGUAGUUGGUCUGAGAGGACGAUCAGCCACACUGGGACUGAGACACGGCCCAGACUCCUACGGGAGGCAGCAGUGGGGAAUAUUGGACAAUGGGGGAAACCCUGAUCCAGCAAUGCCGCGUGUGUGAAGAAGGCCUGCGGGUUGUAAAGCACUUUUGGCAGGGAAGAAAAGCACUGGCCGAAUACGCCAGUGUGUUGACGUAACCUGCAGAAGAAGCACCGGCUAACUCUGUG
rnacentral:rRNA from 1 species